ensembl:lncRNA
AUAACUAUGGAAAUUCAUUAUCAAUUAGCUUUUUACUAUUUUCACAAGUAACUGUUCAAUUUUCAAAACCCGUAGUACUAAUAUCACAACAGAUCAUCAAAAGUGCAUUUUUCCCCAAACAUUUCAGCAUAAUUUCAAUUGUUUUAGUACACACAAUCACAAAGUAUCCUUUUCACUACACAAAACAAGUGUUGCAUCUAUAUAAAUGUUUCAUUCACAGUAAAUGCUUUUCAUAAAGCUUUUACUAUCAAACUUUUAAUUUGCAUGUCUUCUGAUUCAGUUUAAUACAUUUGUCUAUUAUUUAAUCAAACUCAUCUUAAUGGUUGAUCAGUGAAUCAUUUGGUGCAUCUAUAGAUAUCAAUAGAUUCAGUAGAUAUAGUUUCUAAAGAACUUGUUUACCUGGAUAACCAAAUAUAAUGAAUUAUUUUUACACUAUGAGUCAUUUAUCUUAGAGGAUGUCCUUAUUAGUAAAACUGUGUGUUUUGCAAUUUGUGAACAUACAGCAGGAUACAAGGGUAGAGGAAUUGAUCAGAGAUGUAUCAGAAGAAGGGAGACAGAUGGCAUCAAAUAAAAAGAACUGUAAUAAUAAAAAAUCUCACAUUUUUCAUCCAUAUAGAAAUGCAGCAUCAAGAUUUUGAAUCGCAAAGCAGAGAAGAAACGAACCCGACACAAAGAGUGACAUCUUUCAUUCGCCUGACAGUUAAAAAUGAUGUCAAUUUCACGAAAGACGGAUUUGUGCCAUGGAUGGAUACACCAGAGUAUUCGUCACCAAGCCAUACCAGAUACUUCAUCUUAGAAGAAGAUAAUGAAUCUCUGAAAGUCCUUCAUGACGGAACAUACAAGGUUUCUUUGCAGAUUACGUACAGAAAAUUAAGUGAAAAGCCAGAAAAAGAUGAAAUAUUUCUGCAACAUGAUAUUCGUCUUGAUACUGAUGGAUAUCCUCAUCCCCUGCCCCUGCUCACCCACUGCGAAACAGUGAACAUUACACACUGGAGGAAAAGUCUGUUUUCUGAAGGUAUUUUUUACUUCAAUUCUGGGGACAGACUCAAGGUGUGGUCCAAUAAUCUGAUCCUCAUUGAUGUUGGAGAAAAAUUUGUGCAAAAAACAGUGUUUGUGGUGUAUCCUCAUUUUACCCCGUGAGGAUACAGCGAAUACAAAAAACAUAAAGACAAUUACUUCUGUAGCUUUGAUUAAUGAUCAAAAGGGCUGCCAUGAAGUAUCAUAUUCAUCUGUCUGGGAUGACCCUGUCAUCUAAACCGAUUCUCCUGUCUGCAAAAUCUGAUCUAUUUAUGCUAUAAUCAGUAGCAUGGUCAUGUACAGAAGAAAACCCUUACCAAAAAAUACUGUGGUACAUUAAUGGUGUCAAAUGGUAAUACUAGAGUACUUUGAUGGAAACUAUGCUGGUGAAAUUCAUUCCCUCUAGUGUCGUUUUCAAGAAUAUCAUGGUAUUUCCAUGCUAUGUGUUAAACAACUUGCAAUACCAUAGUAUUUUUUUGGUAUUUUCUUUUGUAAGAGAAGACUAUUCUGCUUCACAGCUAGGGACAAAACAGACAUUGGCUUGGGUUUUAAAAGCUACAUUUUGUUUAAGCACUACAACUGUGGAAAAAUUGUAAUUUUGUAAGUAAGUUUUAUUUUUGUUUCAUUUUGAUUGAAAUUGGUUAAAAAAAAAGGCUGAACCGUACUAUAUGCUAUAAUGUUUAUGCCAUUGUAAACAUAUAUGCUUGUGUAUGUAAUUAUUGAUCAAGGAUUUGGGCUGUUAAUGCAAAAUUUACAGGUUCGGUAACAUUACGAAGUGAAGAGAAUUAUCAAUACUCAAAAUCCUGUAUUGUGGUGCAUCAUGGGUUCUGUCAUUGGCAUUAGUAAGCUAUAAGUUACUUUGUAUUAAAAGGGAUUGCAAUCACAAAAUAUGACCUUAGUAAUAAUUUGCAUGAAAGAUCAUUUUAUGUAUUGGAAUACAUCUUCAUAAUUACAUUAUUUUGUUGAGCAUGAUCAAUAAAUACUAUUACAUAAAGCUGUCUUUGUCUCA